rnacentral:snoRNA from 1 species
AAUGCUGGUGUUCAAAGGACAGCAUGGUAGAAAUUCAGUAUGUAGCAAUGUUGGUUUUCUUGCCUUUGUGCACAUGAAACCUGGUAUCUCUGGUGAUUCAGCA